rnacentral:rRNA from 1 species
AUUGAACGCUGGCGGCAGGCCUAACACAUGCAAGUCGAGCGGAGCGGCGGACGGGUGAGUACAGCCUAGGCAUCUGCCUGGUCGUGGGGGAUAAAGUUGGGAAACGGGAGAUAAUACCGCAAACGCUCAGGUUGGGCUAGGGCGGAUUAGCUAGUUGGGGGGGUAAAGGCCUACCAAGGCGACGAUCCGUAACUGGGCUGAGAGGAUGAUCAGUCACACUGGAACUGAGACACGGUCCAGACUCCUACGGGAGGCAGCAUUGGGGAAUAUUGGACAAUGGGCGAAAGCCUGAUCCAGCCAUGCCGCGUGUGUGAAGAAGGUCUUCGGAUUGUAAAGCACUUUAAGUUGGGAGGCGUUACCAACAGAAUAAGCACCGGCUAACUUCGUGCCAGCAGCCGCGGUAAUAC